AGCUAACUCAUACACCACUACACAUACAAAGUUUUUCAGCUUUUACCAACACAUACGCUAUAGUAACUUUUUGUAGUGAAAUGGCAAUCUCGGUAGUAGAGUGGCAUCAACUCACCCUGAUAAUAUCACACCUUAUAUAUAUAUUUGCAAACUUCGGAGAAAGCUUAAGCUGGAUACCACCCAUAUACUCCCAUAUAGGAAGGUAGCUAUACUUGGUAUGGGUGCGGGGAAAACUACCAGCAGUUCUUCAAGGCUUACAACGGCAAUCGUUCAUCAAUCGUACAUUACAAAUUCGACGUAUGAUGGAAGACGCACUCGUAGUCCUUUGUGUCAGGAAGUAACAAAAAUCAUGCACCUAGAAAUACAACACAAAAUAUGCUACAACAACAGAGUUGGUAUUAAUGUUUCCCAUGUUUAUAAUAUUGGUGGAUAAUCGCCUAAUGGUGUAGCAGCAACAACAAUUUAUACAUAUUCAAAUUCACAAUAAAAGUAGAAUCGCACAACGCAACAGGCAAAUAACAAGGCAUCGGAUGAUGUACUACAAAUUACAUCGGACUUUUGGAGAAGCACUUUUAACACUUAUUUUCGACGUGCUAAACACAGUGUCUCCUAUGAUGCCUUUGGAUUUACACACGUGUCAACACAAAAUUUGACCAUAACUUUAAAGCAGUAAAUUUCCAUUGUUUAGGUCUUAAUUAGACGAAAAAAAUAUAUGCCAUGAAAAGGUUUGCUUUUUUCUUUA